AUGAUUACAGUGUGGAGCUUAACAUGGAGCAGGAUCUGCAGCAGUGACCCUGACAGAGAAGGGCACUGUGAGAAGCAGGGCUCCCUGAACAGCUGUGCACAGGAACAAGAUGCUGAGCCUCAUAGGGAAGCUCCAGAUGAAUGCUUUCUGCAAAACUAUGCAGCUUUAAAAGGAAACUGGGAUGUCCCUGAAAGGAUGGUUCCCACCAGCAGCUCCUCUGAACACAGAAGCAUGGCUUCAACAAAAUUCAGUCACUGCUCUCACCCCUCCAACAGCACUGGCAGUCCUGCCAUGACCCCCACCAUCCUGCAGCAAAAACCCAAGCAGCAAAAUAUAAUUACAAAUGAUCACAUACAUUUUAAGGGGAGUAAAAAUAUGAAAUAUAAGAAAAAGCACCUUGAAGAUGAGUGAUUCACAGUGAUGGAAAAAAAUUGAUUGCAAUGUAUGAAGCCCAUGAAUCAUUUUGAGAUCUUCAGUCAGAUAAAAUAUUAUUAUUAUUAUUUUUAUUAUUUUUAUUGUUGUUUCAUGUAAGUAAUGAUUGCAUUGCAUUUGAAAUGGCUUUGUAAUUUCCUGUGUAAUGCUACCCUUAGGUCUCUUCUAUAUUACCACUUUUCAAUUAUCUUUUCUUUUUCUUCUUGAAUGUAUAUGUUUUGAAUUAUUUUUUCAUCUGAUGUAUCAGCCCACUCUUCUUCAGAUUGAAUCUUAUUUUAUUAUUUCCUGCCCACAUUUCUACGGUUAGUAGUUUAUUGCUUUGUAAAGCUGAAAAAAUAAAAUAAAAUAAUGUUCAUGUCA
rnacentral:lncRNA from 1 species